AAGGUAACGCCUGCCCAGUGAGUUAACACUUAAACGGCCGCGAUUAAACGCGCGAAGGUAGCGCAAUCACUUGUUUCAUAAAUUGAGACCCGUAUGAAUGGCCACAUGAGAAAGAAACUGUCUCUUGAAGGUAACCGAUGAAACUGAUCUUCCUGUACAAAAGCAGGAAUAAUAAAGCAAGACAAAAAGACCCUGUGAAACUUAAAACAAAGCAUUAAAAUAAUAAUGCCCAACUUUUAGUUGGGGCAACUUAAGAUAUACAAAACAUCUUACUACGUCUAAACCAACAAGUUUUAACUACUAAACACAUGACCCGGCACUGCCGAUCAACGAACCAAGCUACUCCAGGGAUAACAGCGCUAAAUUCUUUAAGAGUCCAUAUCAACAAGAAUUAUUACGACCUCGAUGUUGGAUCAGGGCACCCAAACAGUGCAGAAGCUGUUAACGGUUCGUUUGUUCAACGACUAAGACCCU
rnacentral:rRNA from 1 species